rnacentral:rRNA from 1 species
UUGAAGAGUUUGAUCAUGGCUCAGAUUGAACGCUGGCGGCAGGCUUAACACAUGCAAGUCGAACGAUGGAACCUAGCUUGCUAGGGGAAAUAGUGGCGAACGGGUGAGUAACAUUUAGGAAACUGCCUUAUAGAGGGGGAUAGCUCGGGGAAACUCGAAUUAAUACCGCAUACGUCCUACGGGAGAAAGGAGGCGAGAGCUUUCGCUAUAAGAUGUGCCUAAAUUAGAUUAGCUAGAUGGUGAGGUAAAGGCUCACCAUGGCGACGAUCUAUAACUGGUCUUAGAGGAUGAUCAGUCACACCGGAACUGAGACACGGUCCGGACUCCUACGGGAGGCAGCAGUG